rnacentral:rRNA from 1 species
CCUACGGGAGGCUGCAGUGGGGAAUUUUGCGCAAUGCUCGUAAGAGUGACGCAGCGACGCCGCGUGAAUGACGAAGGCCUUCGGGUCGUAAAGUUCUUUCGACAGGGAAGAAAAUGCCUACAAGUAACUGAGUAUGUAUUGAAGGUACCGGUAUAAGCAGCCCCGGCUAACUCCGUGCCAGAAGCCGCGGUAAUACGGAGGGGGCGGGCGUUGAUCGGAGGGACUGGGCGUAAAGAGCACGUAGGCGGUGCUGUAAGGCAUUAGGCAAAGUCUAGAGGUCAACUUUAGUAAUGCUAGUGAUACUAUAAUACUAGAGUAUCAGAGAGGAUUGCAGAAUUCCUGGUGUAGCGGUGAAAUGCGUAGAUAUCAGGAGGAAUACCGUUAGCGAAGGCGGCAAUCUGGCUGGAAACUGACGCUGAUGCGCGAAAGCGUGGGGAGCAAACAGGAUUAGAUACCCUAGUAGUC